GAGGGGGUGACUAGUGACAGAGUGAGGAAGCGGGUGACAGAGUUAGGGAGGGAGGGAGUGACUAGUGACAGAGAGAGGGAUGGGGUGACUAGUGACAGUCACCCCCUCUCUUACUCUGUCACUAGUCACCCCCUCUCUCACUCUGUCAUUAGUCACCCCCUCUCUCACUCUGUCACCAGUCAUCCCUUCCUUCCCUCACUCUGCCACUAGUCAUCCCUUCCCUCA